rnacentral:rRNA from 1 species
CUACGGGGUGCAGCAGUGAGGAAUAUUGCACAAUGGGGGGAACCCUGAUGCAGCAACGCCGCGUGGAGGAUGACGCAUUUCGGUGUGUAAACUCCUUUUAUAUGUCAAGAAAAUGACGGUAGCAUAUGAAUAAGCACCGGCUAACUCCGUGCCAGCAGCCGCGGUAAUACGGAGGGUGCAGGCGUUACUCGGAAUCACUGGGCGUAAAGGACGCGUAGGCGGGUUGGAAAGUCAGGUGUGAAAUCCUACAGCUUAACUGUAGAACUGCACUUGAAACUUCUAAUCUAGGGUAUGGGAGGGGGAGUUGGAAUUAGUGGUGUAGGGGUAAAAUCCGUAGAUAUCACUAGGAAUACCUAAAGCGAAGGCGAUCUCCUGGAACAUUACUGACGCUAAGGCGUGAAAGCGUGGGGAGCAAACAGGAUUAGAUACCCGAGUAGUC